rnacentral:rRNA from 1 species
UAAGACAGAGGUGCCGAGCGUUAGGCGGAAUCACUGGGCUUAAAGCGUGUGUAGGCGGGCGGACAAGUACCUUGUGAAAUCCCACGGCUCAACCGUGGAACUGCUGGGUAUACUGUUUGUCUUGAGCCAACUAGGGGCGAGCGGAACAGACGGUGGAGCGGUGAAAUGCGUAGAUAUCGUCUGGAACGCCAAAGGUGAAAACAGCUCGCUGGGGUUGUGCUGACGCUGAGACACGAAAGCCAGGGGAGCGAACGGGAUUAGAUACCCCGGUAGUCCUGGCCCUAAACGAUGUCCACUAGAUCGCGGGACUUUUGACGGUUUCGCGGUCGAAGCCAAAGUGCUAAGUGGACCGCCUGGGAAGUACGGUCGCAAGGCUA